rnacentral:lncRNA from 1 species
GUUGGGGAUGGAUUUAACCCAUCCACAAAGCCCAUCGAACAAAGAGCCCAGUCCAGCAAACCGAGUCGACGUCGGCGCAGAAGCCGAUUCUCGAGGCUUCAACUUAACCAAGAAGCGCCGUUAGUCGAAGCGGAGAGCAAGCGAAGCGAGGUUGAUCGACUAAACGGCUCGGAGCGAGCAUCUCAUAAUCAGGCCCGAAGGGCCGACAAAGCCCAAUCAGUAAAAAGAGAUUAGGUUAAGGUAAUCGAACAGAGUAUAAAAGGAGAGGAAAGCAAAGGAGAAAGGCAUCGACACUUAGCUACACAAACUUAGCGGCGAGAUUAGGGUUUAUCAUCCGUACAAUCAUCUCUCUGCUAUUUGUACUUUUCCGGUUUAAGCUCUCACGAGCUCCGGCUUGCUUUUACUUUCUCCACCUUUGUAACAUCAUCUCGAAAUCUAAUAAACGCCUCUGUUCGACCCAUUUCUAGUAUUGUUUACUUCACCCGAGACCAAAAACCAAAAUAUGGAUUACUGUUGGGGAUGGAUUUAACCCAUCCACAAAGCCCAUCGAACAAAGAGCCCAGUCCAGCAAACCGAGUCGACGUCGGCGCAAAAGCCGAUUCUCGAGGCUUCAACUUAACCAAGAAGCGCCGUUAGUCGAAGCGGAGAGCAAGCGAAGCGAGGUUGAUCGACUAAACGGCUCGGAGCGAGCAUCUCAUAAUCAGGCCCGAAGGGCCGACAAAGCCCAAUCAGUAAAAAGAGAUUAGGUUAAGGUAAUCGAACAGAGUAUAAAAGGAGAGGAAAGCAAAGGAGAAAGGCAUCGACACUUAGCUACACAAACUUAGCGGCGAGAUUAGGGUUUAUCAUCCGUACAAUCAUCUCUCUGCUAUUUGUACUUUUCCGGUUUAAGCUCUCACGAGCUCCGGCUUGCUUUUACUUUCUCCACCUU